UACGUAGGGGCCGAGCGUUGUCCGGAGUUACUGGGCGUAAAGAGCGCGCAGGCGGCUGGUCAAGUCCGAUGUGAAAGCUCCCGGCUUAACUGGGAAAUUGCAUCGGAAACUGAUCGGCUUGAAGGUGGGAGAGGGUAGUGGAAUUCCCGGUGUAGUGGUGAAAUGCGUAGAUAUCGGGAGGAACACCAGUGGCGAAGGCGACUACCUGGCCCAUUCUUGACGCUGAGGCGCGAAAGCUAGGGGAGCGAACGGG
rnacentral:rRNA from 1 species